rnacentral:rRNA from 1 species
GACGAACGCUGGCGGCGUGCUUAACACAUGCCAGUCGAACGGAAAGGCCCUGCUUUUGUGGGGUGCUCGAGUGGCGAACGGGUGAGUAACACGUGAGUAACCUGCCCUUGACUUUGGGAUAACUUCAGGAAACUGGGGCUAAUACCGGAUAGGAGCUCCUGCUGCAUGGUGGGGGUUGGAAAGUUUCGGCGGUUGGGGAUGGACUCGCGGCUUAUCAGCUUGUUGGUGGGGUAGUGGCUUACCAAGGCUUUGACGGGUAGCCGGCCUGAGAGGGUGACCGGCCACAUUGGGACUGAGAUACGGCGCAGACUCCUACGGGAGGCAGCAGUGGAGAAUAUUGCACAAUGGGCGGAAGCCUGAUGCAGCAACGCCGCGUGCGGGAUGACGGCCUUCGGGUUGUAAACCGCUUUCGCCUGUGACGAAGCGUGAGUGACGGUAAUGGGUAAAGAAGCACCGGCUAACUACGUG